GAACACCAGUGGCGAAGGCGACUCUCUGGACUGUAACUGACGCUGAGGCUCGAAAGCGUGGGGAGCAAACAGGAUUAGAUACCCUGGUAGUUCACGCCGUAAACGAUGAAUACUAGGUGUGGGGGCUUCAACACCUCCGUGCCGCCGCUAACGCAUUAAGUAUUCCGCCUGGGGAGUACGGUCGCAAGAUUAAAACUCAAAGGAAUUGACGGGGACCCGCACAAGUAGCGGAGCAUGUGGUUUAAUUCGAAGCAACGCGAAGAACCUUACCUACACUUGACAUCCCUUGCAUUACUCUUAAUCGAGGAAAUCCCUUCGGGGACAAGGUGACAGGUGGUGCAUGGUUGUCGUCAGCUCGUGUCGUGAGAUGUUGGGUUAAGUCCCGCAACGAGCGCAACCCUUGUCGUUAGUUACUACCAUUAAGUUGAGGACUCUAGCGAGACUGCCUGGGUUAACCAGGAGGAAGGUGGGGAUGACGUCAAAUCAUCAUGCCCCUUAUGUGUAGGGCUACACACGUGCUACAAUGGCUGGUACAGAGAGAUGCAAUACCGCGAGGUGGAGCCAAACUUAAAAACCAGUCUCAGUUCGGAUUGUAGGCUGAAACUCGCCUACAUGAAGCUGGAGUUACUAGUAAUCGCGAAUCAGAAUGUCGCGGUGAAUACGUUCCCGGGUCUUGUACACACCGCCCGUCACACCAUGAGAGUUGGCAAUACCCGAAGUCCGUGAGCUAACCGCAAGGAGGCAGCGGCCGAAGGUAGGGUC
rnacentral:rRNA from 1 species